rnacentral:tRNA from 1 species
GCUAGUAUAGUUUAAUGGUAGAAUUCGAUACUUCCAAUAUCGCUAUCUCGGUUCGAUCCCGAGUACUAGUA